CGAUCUCUCGCGUCUUAUAGUCUUUCGAUCCGUGUCCCAAGAAACUCACGAAACAGCGACGUACGACGUUUCGAGCGAUCCGAUCCGGCUCUCUCGCGGCGACUCAGGCGACCGUCCCAGAGGUGAAACGGCGGUUGUCCACGGGCGGGUGUGCACGCCCAGGCCGUCGCACGUUGCGAGGUGCGCGAUGCGUGUUCGCCGACGGACGACUGUACGUUUCGACGGCUACACCUUCCACCAGCUUAGCAGCGACCCUACGAAGCCGGAGGAAGGUGGCGGAGGAGGAGGAGGAAAACGGCAGGAGGUAGAGCUGCGGGACGCGGGACGGCGCACACGUAAGACUGACUGACUGACUAUCAGCGGCGUGGAUGCAUAGUGUGCAUAUGUGCGAUUUCAUGCCGGUGCACUCAAACGACGGGUCCCCCGCGAACGUCGCGACGGAAAACAUUUUGAAAAACGCUUCGGAUUUGCGUGCCACUCGGAAAUAAGACGGGUGAAUGUUGACGAAAUAAUUGUUAUUUAAUAUUCAUAAAAAUGCAGAGAUGUACUCCCUUUCUCCCUAGAAAUAAUACUGAAAAACGAACUUUAGUGGAUAAAGUUUGCAUGCGGAGAGAAUGCUUGCGUAAUAUUUAAUUACAUAAUAAUUAAUGUAAUGAACUGCCUAUGAUGUGAUAUAAAGGAAAGACGAGGAAAUAUUUAGAAUAAUAUUUAUAAGAAGUUAUAUCUUUAAUAAUAAUUAUUACAUCUCAAAUGUUGCUGUAGCAUUUAUUUCAGUACGUAUUAGCUGUCCGUAUCGCAGAAUUUGUCCACUACUAAACUACAAUCAUUGAGAUUAGAUAUAGUAAUGUAAACUUGAUUGCAACUUUUUUCCUGUUGCGAAUCUCGUAACGCGCCAAAAUCGCGAGUGGAUUCUGCGUUUUUUGCUCCAAAUAUCAUUAAAAAAAAAAAAAAAAAACACCAUCUUCUCCGCAGAUGAUUUUGAUAUCGAAAGUGUGUGACAGUAUUUUUUUCAUCGAGACGCAAAACGCGUUGCAGACGUGCACAAUGUAACUAAAUAGACUUGCUACCUUUUCCGUUAGAAUACGACCGUCGUACGGACGUGCUACGUGUCGCUGUUAUUAACGCAGGCAUCGACAAGACAUUUUUAUCAGCGCCCGUAUGAUAGUACUCGCUGCGGGCACAGCUGAAGGAAAUGAGAGAACAUUACCGAGAGCGCUAUGGUAAUCGCUAUAGCAGAAUCGACGGCCUCGAAGACCUCAGAGGCUAUUUUUUUUUUUUUCGAUAUUUGGGGCGAAAAUAAUAAGAAUACAAAUUUAGGAAAGGACGGACCAGGCUCGACGAGACACGACGGAACGCAUUAUGACGGGAAAAUAUUACAAAUAUUUAUCUUUACGAUCACGUCUGAUAUUUCACUUGUCAAUAAUGUCCUUGUUUACAGAAUUAGAACAGGCCGAUUUCGAGGAAAGAAGGACAAGAAGAAGAAGCGGACCAAAGUCUGGAGCGCACGACCGAAAAGAGGCGAUGAAAGAUUACAAAUUGUAACAUAUAACUGUGUCUUCGUGGAUAGUGUUAUGUUAAUGUGUCGUAACGUUUACGAAACUGUGGAACUUUUAACCAAUGAAAUUGAUUGAUUUGAUUGCUGGUGUAAGAAGAAAAUCGAGCAACACAUUUUGAAGGAAGUGUAUCUUGAAAUAAUUUUCGAGCGAAAUCAAAAUCGAUUGAGACGAGCGAGCAAUGUUGAACGACAGCGGAGAAUAAUCAUAAGCGAAUAAUAACAACGAAGAAAAUGUUGUCACCAACCUUAACGAUUCCGUCGAAAGUUUUUAUAUGCCGAGCUUUAUCGCACAAAUGGUACCUGGUUAAUUUCCGUAUAUAAGCCCGUUCGACCUGUAUUUAUAGCCACCCGAUUGAGAGAGUAGCCAUAGUCACUAUCGUGCUGAAAACUGAGCAACCCCAGCCGCCGGUCGCUUAUCAUACUUGAAAGUAUUAUCGGCGAAAAUGAAACUGGGGUGCUACGUGACCACCAAUCGAAAUUGAUCGCUGACGCCAACUUAUUGUAUCCUAGAAUUCGCAUACGCGGCCUGAUAUGAAAGUUUCUUUCAUUUGGCGUACUCAUAGUCCGUUCUUAUAUUUAAGAUUGUCUUAAUUAUGAUCUUAAGAUGCUAUGAACCAAUCAGAAAACCAUAAUAUCUUAAGACAGUACUUAAGAUAAUCUUGAAAUAAGAACGGACUAUGAAUACCGCCCAUUGAGUCUAAUGCAUUAUUUGAUAUAAUUAGAUAAUUAAUGGAUUUUGCGUUAAUAUUGCUGCGAAAUCUAAUUAAUAAAUCUUAUUAAAUAUUUUAAAUAUUUAAGAUUAGCGCAAACUUCAAGACAAGUUUAAUGUAGCAGCGAUAGUAUUUUAUUUUUGAAAUAAACAUGCACAUAUUAUUUUUCAGAGUCACGCGCGAUUGUUUUGCGCUUGUGUCGUGAAAUUGCACCGUCGAUGAAAUUCUACAGCAGCAGAAAAAAGAAAGACGAAAAAUAUAGAAUUUCCAUCGCUUAAACGAUACGCAAUCUACAAUGUACAGAUGUGUUAGUUUCGAUGGACUUCAAGGACUAUUAAACCGCGCUGCACUCAUGCGGUAUACGUAACAGCGCAUGAAUCAUCGCAUCCUUCUGCUUUCUGUGCCUUCCAUAUUUUGCCUUUACAAUUCAAGGGAAUUAGAAAAUUGACACGCUUUCGUUUCCAUCGCGCGUUGUCAAAAAAAUUCAACUUUUGGCGAACUUCAAUUUUCCGGUGUUAGCAAAUGUUGACAGAUUGAUAGCAAAUUUCGUCAAAUUUCCUGCCAACACCGCUACCUAUUUACAGCUAUCUAUUUUUCUAAAAGUGCCGACAUACUCCCAAAAAUUACAAUUGACAAAUUUCAGAUCAUUUAUAAUUCACUCGCAUUCGCCGUUGUGACGAUUAAAAAACCGUUAUUCGACAUAAUAUUAUUCCAACGUGAACUUAAAGGAAAAGGAAGGAACAUUUGGACAAAGAUUUAUCUGGAGUUGAAAAAGUUGUACGGGGUCCUCUUCUCAGAGAGAAAUUCGUGACACAUUCCACGAGAGGAUGUAGGAGAUAAAAUUCAAGCUUCCUAAGGUCUGAGGCGCUCUAUAUAUCGAAGAGCAAGGAUGAACAUGGACAGAAAUAAAAAUUCAUAAAUUUGGAAUAGCAGCGCAUUAUAAUCACUUUAAAAAUUGCACGGCGGCAAAAAUUUUCAACGCUUAAUUUUAUUGUUCGAAAGAGCAAAGAUUUUGACUUAUAAUUAAAAAAAAAAAGAAGAUUGGAACGAUUUUCGGCAGAGAAAUGCUGUCAAGGACUGACUGGGCUCUUUAAGGUGUUCUCCGACUUAAAUUUUAGGAAACACAAUCAGAAGGAAGUCCGGUCGCACGUCGUGGAUACAGGACGUGCGAUGCGCGUUUACAUUUGCCACUCUUAUCUCGCGUUUGUAUUAUGAUAAGAGGCCCAACUUUCCGAUCCUCAAUGCGUUAUCUUAUACGAUCCCUAGGUAUCUCUCACUCCCCUCCCCCCCUCCCCCUCCCCCCCUCCUCGACUGAACGCGGUAGAAAGUGUUUCAUCGUCAGAUAUAUAAAGAGCGUUACUCAUCAUCACUUUUUCACAACCGAAAUUCUUUUCGCAAAUGCAAAGCCAAAACAUUCUUUCAUUGUUCUUCCACAGAAUAUCGAUACUUUCGCGAUAUUUGUCAUCUUUAACGAUGUAAAAGAGAUCGUAAUAUAUUAGCGGAUAAAGUGAAAUGUGUUUGCCUUACACUCGUUCGCGAUUAUUAGGGAACACAACAUCUGUUAAAAUAAUUUCUAAUCACAAUGUGAUCCCUCGCGCUUAUCAGACGGGUAGACAUCUGUGCGUAUACCGAGUGACUUUCAACAUGGAAAAUAUAUUAAUGAAAGUUAUUAGCUUCAGA